rnacentral:rRNA from 1 species
CGUAGGGUGCGAGCGUUAUCGGAAUACUGGGCGUAAAGCGUGCGCAGGCGGUUAUAUAAGACAGUUGCGAAAUCCCCGGGCUUACCUGGGAAUGGCGCUUGUGACUGCACGACUGGAGUGCGGCAGAGGGGGAUGGAAUUCCGCGUGUAGCAGUGAAAUGCGUAGAUAUGCGGAGGAACACCGAUGGCGAAGGCAGCCCCUGGGCCUGCACUGACGCUCAUGCACGAAAGCGUGGGGAGCAAACAGGAUUAGAUACCCUGGUAGUCAAGGGCG